rnacentral:tRNA from 1 species
GGUGACUCAGUGGUAGAGUACUUGCCUUGCAUGCAUGAGGCCCUGGGUUUGAUUCCUCAGCACCA